GGGAAAUAAUGGGGAGGAUAAUGAAACAGGGGGGGAAACCCUGAAUGGAUGGAGCCACGGUGACGUCACGACCAGCCGCAGAAAUGAAGCUGAGUUUCAGCCCCCCCUCCGGAUCACUCGGUCUCCAUCUCCCGAGCUGCACGCUUCUCCUGCCGGGGAGCAGAGCACAGACACACCGGAUCCCUGGAGAGACACUCAGCGGCCUCACAGCACGUGGCUCAUAGGUCAAAGCUUGGACCAUGUGGCUUCGCCUGCAGCGUGAGAGGAUGGGUAGCCUUAGGGGUUGGUUGUUAUCUUUGGUUAUCUAGCUGUAUGAGUGAUGUACAUUCUUCAUAAAGCUAGAUAACCGAAAGUAACAAGAAUCCCAUUACACUCCUGAAAAGGCAUCAAGACCCCAAAACGCGGCACCAUACAAAAAAAAGCACAAACUCUACAAGCAACAUGAGAGCAGAACAUGGACAACGUUUAAAAGGAGAUGGGAGUUGACAGCAGCCAAAGGUUUCCAGCACCUCACCACUGAAGGGACGCUGGCAAAAACAGAGAAGAAGAAGAAUAUGGAGGAGGAGGAGGGGUUGCUGUUGAUUCUGCCCUCCCUCUCUCCUCACCCUCCUCUGCAUCGCCUCCUCCCUUCCUCCCUUCCUCCUCCGCUCCAUCCUCAGCCCCUUUUUCCCGUACAGCGAGACGCAGCCCUCGCCACCAUCUUAGAGCAACGCUGGCAUGAAAUGGAAGUGGAAAGACCAGUGAUCAGUGCAGGAGGAUGCUGCAGAGAACUCGAUGAAGUGGAAAGCAGGACUCCUUCGUUCAGCGAGGACUAAACAAGGACAGACCUCUUCAAUGCUUCUGUGCUUUCUCCGAGAAGGAACGCCUCUUUGUGUUUUCUCCAAAGCAAACAUCCCGGCUAACUGUCAGAAACAAGGUUCAAGGUGAAGAUGGACCGCGUGGAUCAACCUGUCCGUACGAGAGACUUUCACUGAGCUGUGUACUUAUUGUUCUUCCUUAGACGUGAAGCAGUGUAAUGUGUCUUCCACUAACAUAGGCUUGACUUACUGUAGGUCUCAUUUGAUGAGUUAUAGCUCUAGUUGGACUCAAAGACCUACGGCAGCAGUGAAGAAUACUGCACUGUGAUUGGACGGCUCCAUGUGUCUGCUGACACAAUGGCGAAGGAGUGAGCUGUCGUCUUUAUACUCUAUGCAACUGUUCAUUCUUUUCUUGGUCCCUUUCAUCCUGGAUUGUUAUUUUGGGACACCAGUUUAUUCCCUUGAAGAAAAAGCUGCCUUUCCUCCCCGGUGUUAAUGUACUGCUGCUGAACAUUACAGCCAGAGUGUGUGUGACGGAUGAUACAGCUCUCAUAUGUAUUCAAUCUCUUAUUUGCAGCCUUAACAGACUUUGAUUUGCAGCCGUGAGCCACAGUCUGAGUAAACGUGGACUCACGCGUUUAAUAUUCCUGGUGGCAGGAGAGUGUUUGAUCAGCAGGAAGUAGCUGCGCAGCGCUCAGGAUACUGAACACACCCCGGUAUUAAACACAGUUUCAGUUACCUGCUUCCCUUUAAUGACACAUGGUUGGGAGAGACAUUACAAAUACAUCGGCUUCAAACACUGCCUUCAUUUCCUGUCCUUGACAUUAACACACACACUCACACACUCACACACACACGCCCAAAUGCAAUAAAGCGAGUACUAUCGCAGCCUAAUUCAUUCUAUAUUAAUUUUCGAGAAGUGGCCAAUUUUUUAUUACGAUUGAUAAUCUAUGCAAAUCUUUUAAAUAUUACUUUAAACAAUCUAUGUCUACGCAGGGCUUUUUGCAAUUGAUUCAAGGGAGACUAUCUCGGCCUAAUUUAGAAAAUGUAUUCUUUUGAUAAUCAUGCACAUCCCAGUGCUCAAGACAAUUACUUAUCUGCCUGGAUAAGCUUGAAAUUAUGUUUUUAAUCUUCAGCAAAAAGAAAAAAAAAGUCUCUCUUCUGAUAUUAGGCAGAAUAGUGGAGAUGAAAUCCGUUGCACUUAAUCUCUUUUUUCCUUAAAUGCAGAUCAGACGUAUCUAUUCAGCUGUGCUACUUCAUAGCUUAGUGUUAUAUGAAUAUAAUAUAUAUAUAUAUAUAUAUAAAAGCAGCAAUGUUUGUGUUAUGCAAUCUAUUUGGUGUGAAUGAGUGUUCACCACAUGUGCCUUUGUAUGCAAAAAACUGGUUGGAAUAUGAAUAAAGGUUUACAUUGAAAACAA